AGUGGCUUAGCGGUUAAGGCGCACAGCUGCUAACUGAAAGGCUGGUGGUUCAAACCCACCAGCCACUC
rnacentral:tRNA from 1 species